AAAAGCUCGAGAAGGACUGAGGUGAUCGACGGACCAGGAGAUGACUAAAGAGACAUGAAGCCAGUGCUACACCUACACCCCCAGUCAGUGCUCUCACCUGUUCUGUCUGUGGCAAACAGUGUGGAUCACGGAUUGGGCUUUACAGCCAAAAGAAGACUCACAAGUGACAGGGGCAGGAUUGUCAUCGUCGGACACGACGGACAACCUUAAGCAGCAUUCAAACAUGCAUGCUUAUAGCUUGCAGAUUGGAAAAGCACUGGUAACACACCAAGUUCAAGGGAGACAACACUUUCCAGAGACUCCAGCUGUUUCAGCCAUGGGCAGGAGAAACUAGGAAGUGGUUCCUCAUCCUGCCCUGUCCUUUCCUGAGCCAAAGGCAAGAAGAGGAGGAGAAGUCAAGUGUGUAAGCCUUCUGAUGAAAGCAUUAUUUAUUCUACAUGCUGCAAGAGCAAGAAAUUCAUUUGUGGAUCUUGUCCAUCAAGUUCUGCUUUCACACACACACACAAACACGCACACACACAGAAAAGAGAAUGAAACGCAGGAGUGAAAAGUAGGAGUGAAAAUAUGAAACAAUAUUUUUAGAGUAAAACUUGUUACAUCAUGUAUAUAUAUCAUUAUAUUCUGUCAUUCAGAAUAAAAAUUGAUUUAUAUUUUGCUUUUAUAUAAAAGAUAUUUGAAUAAACUAAAUUAACUCACAGUGAUGUCCUGUCUGUAAGAUGUCUAUUGGCGUGGAUUACUUUGUCAAAAUAUAAAACUUGGAAUAAAGCUC